GUUAGUCAACCAUGUAGACAUUUUGAUUGUCAGUUACCAACAUAUCUGUGAUUUACCAAUGGGGUUCAGGAUUCCUAUCAUAUAAAAAUCUCAUGACAAAUAAGUGGAUAAUCAUAGGGUACUCUGGAUCAGAUGGUGGUUUAUGUGGAUGCUUUGGACUAAACCACAUGCCCUCUGGACUCAUUCACAUCUACACUUUUUAAUGGGACUUUAUUUCACCUGCCUGGAGUAGCAGUAUGACAUCUUGGGAAAACAUCUGGACUUGGAGUCAAGGAAACUGAGUCUGUUUUCUUCCUUUGGACUAUAUAUAGGCUCAAUAUUUCUGAGAAUUACUUCACAACUCAGCAACUACUGACAGAAUGAUUGUGCCAGUACACAGUGAAAUGAGUGCUUCACUAAGAGUUUGAACAUCUACCAUUAAAUCCUGCCAUCUUGGAUAAGUCA